GGGGCUAUGGCCCAAUGGUAAGGCGUCUGACUACGAAUCAGGAGAUCGUCGGUUCGAUCCCGGCUAGCCUCU